UACGUAGGUGGCAAGCGUUGUCCGGAAUCAUUGGGCGUAAAGCGCGUGUAGGCGGCUUGAUAAGUCUGCUGUGAAAGUCCAGGGCUCAACCCUGGAAUGCCGGUGGAAACUGUCGAGCUAGAGCCCGGAAGAGGCGAGUGGAAUUCCUGGUGUAGCGGUGAAAUGCGCAGAUAUCAGGAGGAACACCGGUGGCGAAGGCGGGUCUCUGGGCCGUAACUGACGCUGAGGAGCGAAAGCGUGGGGAGCGAACAGG
rnacentral:rRNA from 1 species